CCCGGGCCUUGUACACACCGCCGUCACACCACGAAAGUUGGCUCGACCCGAAGUCGCUAACCCAACCGCAAGGAGGGAGGCGCCAACGGUCUGGUCGAUGAUUGGGGUG
rnacentral:rRNA from 1 species